rnacentral:rRNA from 1 species
GCACGCAGGCGGUUCAGCAAGUUCCUGCUGACGGUCUCCGGCUUAACCGGGGAAGGCGUGGGGAAACUACUGGACUUGAGACAUCGAGAGGCAGACGGAAUUCCGUGUGAAGCAGUGAAAUGCGUAGAGAUGCGGAAGAACACCAGAGGCGAAGGCGGUCUGCUGGCGAUGCUCUGACGCUCAAGUGCGAAAGCUAGGGGAGCGAACAGGAUUAGAUACCCUGGUAGUCCUAGCCGUAAACGAUGACCACUAUCCGUGGGGGGUUCGACCCCUUCCGUGGAGUAGCUAACGCGAUAAGUGGUCCGCCUGGGGAGUACGACCGCAAGGUUAAAACUCAAAGGAAUUGACGAGGACCCGCACAAGCAGCGGAGCGUGUGGUUUAAUUCGAUGCAACGCGAAGAACCUUACCAGGGUUUGACAUGACGUUGAGCGCGCUGGAAACAGCGUUCCCUUCGGGGCAGCGUCACAGGUGCUGCAUGGCUGUCGUCAGCUCGUGCCGUGAGGUGUUAGGUUCAGUCCUUCAACGAGCGCAACCCCUAUUGCCGGUU